UCGACUUUGUAUAAUGGCUUAAAGUCAAUUUAGAGUACAAACGGUUCAAGCCCAAGAGCUAACAAAAUUACAUUCAGUCCAAUGAAGCCCGUACAAUAAGAUAAGGAUGAUUGCAUGAUCUCCACGUGUUGCUACGUGGCUUCUCCUCCCGUGAAACGAAGAUCGAGAAAUUCACCGGUCCCUAGCUGGUCGGACGUCCCCGUUCUCCAGCCAUCGUUUCGCUUGAAUACUGUUUGUAAGCUUUUCCUUCAUCAUUCGCUGCCAAUUCAAUGGGUUCUUCAUCCGCUUGCUUGAUGUGAAAACCAGUGAAAAGCUUCGAUUAAAGAGAAACAAAACCUUGUUGGAACACCUUCAUAGAAAGCUCCAUCUUAUCUGAUUCCGUUUUUCUUCAACAAAGCAUAAACCAAACUUACACAGACUUGAUUUUCGAGGAUACUCUGUCAAUACAAAACAGAGAUUGAUUCCUCUACAACUGUUUGAUAUUUGAUAUUUUUACGCCUAUUUCUAAUAACUUUUUUCUAUGCUACUCUGCUAGGACCAUCA
rnacentral:lncRNA from 1 species